CACGCCCUAAACGAUGUCAACUAGGUGUUGGGUGGGUAAAACCAUUUAGUACCGGAGCUAACGCGUGAAGUUGACCGCCUGGGGAGUACGGCCGCAAGGUUAAAACUCAAAGGAAUUGACGGGGACCCGCACAAGCGGUGGAUGAUGUGGAUUAAUUCGAUGCAACGCGAAAAACCUUACCUACCCUUGACAUGUCCAGAGGCCUGAAGAGAUUUGGGUGUGCCCGAAAGGGAACUGGAACACAGGUGCUGCAUGGCUGUCGUCAGCUCGUGUCGUGAGAUGUUGGGUUAAGUCCCGCAACGAGCGCAACCCUUGUCGUUAAUUGCCAUCAUUCAGUUGGGCACUUUAACGAGACUGCCGGUGACAAACCG
rnacentral:rRNA from 1 species